rnacentral:rRNA from 1 species
CCUACGGGAGGCAGCAGUGGGGAAUAUUGCACAAUGGGGGAAACCCUGAUGCAGCAACGCCGCGUGAGCGAUGAAGGCCUUCGGGUUGUAAAGCUCUGUCUUCAGGGACGAUAAUGACGGUACCUGAGGAGGAAGCCACGGCUAACUACGUGCCAGCAGCCGCGGUAAU